GAGUUUGAUCCCUGCUCAGGACGAACGCUGGCGGCGUGCCUAAUACAUGCAAGUCGAGCGAAUCGAUGGGAGCUUGCUCCCUGAGAUUAGCGGCGGACGGGUGAGUAACACGUGGGCAACCUGCCUAUAAGACUGGGAUAACUUCGGGAAACCGGAGCUAAUACCGGAUACGUUCUUUUCUCGCAUGAGAGAAGAUGGAAAGACGGUUUACGCUGUCACUUAUAGAUGGGCCCGCGGCGCAUUAGCUAGUUGGUGAGGUAAUGGCUCACCAAGGCGACGAUGCGUAGCCGACCUGAGAGGGUGAUCGGCCACACUGGGACUGAGACACGGCCCAGACUCCUACGGGAGGCAGCAGUAGGGAAUCUUCCGCAAUGGACGAAAGUCUGACGGAGCAACGCCGCGUGAACGAAGAAGGCCUUCGGGUCGUAAAGUUCUGUUGUUAGGGAAGAACAAGUACCAGAGUAACUGCUGGUACCUUGACGGUACCUAACCAGAAAGCCACGGCUAACUACGUGCCAGCAGCCGCGGUAAUAC
rnacentral:rRNA from 1 species